rnacentral:rRNA from 1 species
ACUCCUACGGGAGGCAGCAGUGGGGAAUAUUGCACAAUGGGCGCAAGCCUGAUGCAGCCAUGCCGCGUGUAUGAAGAAGGCCUUCGGGUUGUAAAGUACUUUCAGUCAGUGAGGAAGGAGUGGGUAUGUUAAUAGCAUAUUCAUUUGACGUUAGCUGCAGAAGAAGCACCGGCUAACUCCGUGCCAGCAGCCGCGGUAAUACGGAGGGUGCGAGCGUUAAUCGGAAUUACUGGGCGUAAAGCGCAUGCAGGUGGUUUGUUAAGUCAGAUGUGAAAGCCCGGGGCUCAACCUCGGAAUUGCAUUUGAAACUGGCAAACUAGAGUACUGUAGAGGGGGGUAGAAUUUCAGGUGUAGCGGUGAAAUGCGUAGAGAUCUGAAGGAAUACCGGUGGCGAAGGCGGCCCCCUGGACAAAGACUGACGCUCAGAUGCGAAAGCGUGGGGAGCAAACAGGAUUAGAUACCCUGGUAGGAUAG